ACGAACGCUGGCGGCAUGCCUAAUACAUGCAAGUCGAACGAGAUCUUCGGAUCUAGUGGCGCACGGGUGCGUAACGCGUGGGAAUCUACCCUUGGGUUCGGAAUAACAGUUAGAAAUGACUGCUAAUACCGGAUGAUGACGUAAGUCCAAAGAUUUAUCGCCCAAGGAUGAGCCCGCGUAGGAUUAGCUUGUUGGUGAGGUAAAAGCUCACCAAGGCGACGAUCCUUAGCUGGUCUGAGAGGAUGAUCAGCCACACUGGGACUGAGACACGGCCCAGACUCCUACGGGAGGCAGCAGUAGGGAAUAUUGGACAAUGGGGGAAACCCUGAUCCAGCAAUGCCGCGUGAGUGAUGAAGGCCUUAGGGUUGUAAAGCUCUUUUACCCGAGAUGAUAAUGACAGUAUCGGGAGAAUAAGCUCCGGCUAACUCCGU
rnacentral:rRNA from 1 species